rnacentral:rRNA from 1 species
UACAGAGGUCUCGAGCGUUGUUCGGAUUCAUUGGGCGUAAAGGGUGCGUAGGUGGCGCUGUAAGUCGGGUGUGAAAUCCUGAGGCUUAACCUCGGAACUGCAUUCGAUACUGCGGCGCUUGAGGACUGGAGAGGAGACUGGAAUUCAUGAUGUAGCAGUGAAAUGCGUAGAGAUCAUGAGGAAGACCAGUGGCGAAGGCGGGUCUCUGGACAGUUCCUGACACUGAGGCACGAAGGCCAGGGGAGCAAACGGG